rnacentral:rRNA from 1 species
UACGGAGGGAGCUAGCGUUGUUCGGAAUUACUGGGCGUAAAGCGCGCGUAGGCGGCUUUGUAAGUUAGAGGUGAAAGCCCGGGGCUCAACCCCGGAAUUGCCUUUAAGACUGCAUCGCUUGAAUCCGGGAGAGGUGAGUGGAAUUCCGAGUGUAGAGGUGAAAUUCGUAGAUAUUCGCAAGAACACCAGUGGCGAAGGCGACUAACUGGACAAGUAUUGACGCUGAGGUACGAAAGCGUGGGGAGCAAACAGG